rnacentral:rRNA from 1 species
AUGAGCUACGCAGCGCCGAACCUGGAGCAGGGGCAACCCGACAGGCGCGAUUGUGGGAUCUGUUUGGAGGACUUCGUCGAGGGCGAGACCCUGACGCUCCUCGACUGCGAGCACUACUACCACCCUCAUUGUGUUCAGAAGUGGUUGCGAUUGAAAAAUGCAUGCCCAACUUGCAGAGGCGAGGAGGUAGCGUAG